rnacentral:SRP_RNA from 1 species
GGAAGGUCGGCGGCGGACGGGCGCCUUGCCAACCCGGUCAGAUCCGGAAGGAAGCAGCCGCAGUGAGUUUCGCCCGGGUCGUCGUUCGGCCUUCCACC